rnacentral:rRNA from 1 species
UACGUAGGGGGCAAGCGUUUGUCCGGAUUUAUUGGGCGUAAAGAGCGUGUAGGCGGCUUGGAAGGUCAGCUGUGAAAACUCGAGGCUCAACCUCGAGAUGUCGGCGGAAACCGUCUGGCUAGAGUCCGGAAGAGGAGAGUGGAAUUCCUGGUGUAGCGGUGAAAUGCGCAGAUAUCAGGAAGAACACCUAUGGCGAAGGCAGCUCUCUGGGACGGUACUGACGCUGAGGCACGAAGGUCAGGGGAGCGAAACGGG